UCAGCUAAACUUUGGUCAAGACGAUGUGGAAGAUUGAAAUCGAUAGAAAACGAUGCAAGUAUUUAAAUGGAAAAGGUCACCAUGUUGUUUGUAGUAGCCUCAACCUACGAGUAUACAUCAAAGAUCAUAAAUCACCGAAUAAGACAAUCAUGGAAUAACCCAAGAAAAACAGUAGCACUCAGUCAAAUUGUGUUUUUGUCUGUCUAUGUCUUUCCUUCAAUUAUAAUCUUCAGCUAGAGACAAACGGUGAUUUCCAUUGGCAGUACUUAGCCCGCAUUGUAAAGACUAGGAAGAGGAUAUCCAUUUUGGUAUCCAUUAGUAUGACACUGAUGUCAUCCGCGCAAAAAAUUUCGACAGAUAAUGAGUACCCAGUUUAGGGUGAUAUUACAAGCAAAUGUUAUCUAAACAUAUUUCAGAGAAAAUAUCCAUAUCAGACCACGACACGAGAAAAUACAUUUUUAAUAUUCAAACUACUUGACGGGACAUUUCAUAAUAUGUAAGGCAUUAAUAAAUACAAAAUUGUUAAUGCCCUCUUAUCAGGUAAAUAUUUUCCCACAAAAUUAUUAAUGUUUAUGCACACACCACACACGAUGAGUGUGUAUAUGGACUCCUCAAUACAAAUGGAAAUAAUAUAAAUCAGCCUACAGAAAAAUGUCAGCUACUCAACACAAAUCCAAGAAAUUUUAGUAAAAAUUAUUCGAUAUAAAAUUUCCAUAUAAAACGCAUGCCACUCCCCUUUUCGGUUUUAAUGAUCAAACGCACAGACUUAAAAUCGACCACGGAGCAAAGGAAGGGAGUCGGAGGCCUAUGGCGCUCUUAUCAAUUACCAAGAAUUCACCAACAAGGGCAGACGAAGAGAAUUCCAUUUGAAUUUUUAUUUAAUUUUUUUGUCAAUAGUUAAUAACCCGCUAACAUGUCGCAGCUUUUGUUUUUGGCUUCGAGUACUUUUAAACAGAAAGCCCCAUCGAAAUAAUCAAAACGAGCAAAUAAAUGAUAACGCCACCAUCACCACCCACCCACACUCCAGGCCACAGCUGUCGAGGAAUGACAAAGACGACUUCGCGCUAUUCCAACAACGGGAAACUAGCAAUUUUUUGUGGUUAACUACCAUUUUCGUAACAAACUGAAAUAGAUGGCAUUAAUCUUAAAUCAUGAACAUAAAAAACUUACAAUAUUUGCUACAAAGUAAAAGCGCAGAGGCCAGCAACGAAACAAGUGACCGAAAACACGCUAUAAACGAAAACUGAUAUGACAGUGGGAGGCAGGACAUACAUGGCCGUGGAGUGAAACAAAGUAAAGAGGAUAUUGUGGAGAUCGGCCAACUCGAAUUACGUAUGCCCUGCAUUGGUAUGAAAUUUGAAUUUUGAAAAACGCCUUCACAUUGAAUGUUUCUUGCCGAAAUUUCAUCAAAAUCGAAGCUAAAAAAAUAAAAUCAGGAGAUCAAGCAAAUUUAGUGACCAUAUAAGACAUUGAACCCAUCAUACUUGCUGUCCAUGUUAGUAAGCGGUACUUACGAGUAUAUAACACUCUAUACUAAAUGUAGUCGAAAUGGAAUUAAAACUGCGCAUUCUGUGA